rnacentral:lncRNA from 1 species
AAAAUUAAAUUAGAAUUUUAAGUACAAGUGAAACCAACUUUAAAACAUACACACAUAUUACUCUGAACUCCCCAUAUUUUCUUACCCAUAUAUUCUCUAAUCUCUUUGGUCCUACUCUUACCUUUUAACUUUCUACGGUUAAAACUUAUCAAUUUGUUAAAUUUUUUGUCUUAAAAUUUGUAGUUUGCAGUUUAAAUUAUACUAUAUUCAAUAAAGUGGUUACCGAGGACUUAUUAGUAAAAAUAAAAUACUAAAAUCUUGAAUUCAAUAAACUAAUUAAGGUUCUAAGACUAUUUAGUGUAGACUUGAACUUUAUGUUGAGACAUAAAUGUGGUUCAAGUUUGAGUAUAUAGACCAAACAACCUGUAGUAUUUAUGAAUAAGGUUGGACAUCUUAUUCUGAGAUAAUAUGGAUG